GACGAACGCUGGCGGCGUGCUUAACACAUGCAAGUCGAACGGAAAGGUCCUGACUUUGUGGGGUGCGCGGGUGGCGAACGGGUGAGUAACACGUGAGUAACCUGCCCUUGACUUAGGGAUAACUUCAGGAAACUGGGGCUAAUACCGGCUCGGAGCUCCUGCUGCCUGGUGGGGGUUGGAAGGAUUCGGCGGUUGGGUAUGGAAUCGCGGCUUAUCAGCUUGUUGGUGGGGUAGUGGCUUACCAAGGCUUUGACGGGUAGCCGGCCUGAGAGGAUGACCGGGCACAAUACUACUGUGUACAGGCUCACCCUACACGGCGCGGUAGCGGUCUAGAGUUUUAUCCUGUGUCCGGCUGCCUGUACCAGCAAAGUGGCGGGUGGUUUGACGGCAACCAACUCGUCCACCGCCUACGCCUUAGACGUUGCUAGAGUGACGGUACUGAGAAAUGAAGCCCCGCCUAACUUCGUU
rnacentral:rRNA from 1 species